rnacentral:lncRNA from 1 species
GAUAACCACUCUCAGUCUCACGGGAACAGAAGGCUGAGGUGGGAACUGAUUGCAGCUUGGGCCCGCCAUUGCCCACAGCAAGCUUCAGAAAGGAAGGGCAUCUCAUUUUGUUUUGCUGUUGUUUUAUUUUCAACAAAAAGGCUCUGUUUAUGGUGAAGUUGGUUUCAAACGACCUUGGAACUCACUGUCACUCGCUCCUCAGCGCCUGAGGAUUAAAGCAGACUGGAAGACUUAGGACUUAGGACGGGGAGAAAUUCGGCCUCCCCCUCUUCCUCCAAUUCUGCUCGGACUUCCCCAGAUGGAAAGCGGGAAGGGGAGUCUGGGAAAAGUGGUCACCUAAGGCAGUGUGGUUCCAAGCCAAAACAUCUGACAAAAUCCACAUUAAGGAAGGAGGGGUGUACUGAGGCUGCAGUCCGUCAUGGCGGGGAAGGUAUGGCAGCAGGAGCAAGAAAAUGGCCCCCAAAACUCACGCAGUAAUAUAUUGAAUGACUAACUCUAUUUCUAUGAAAUGCCCGUGAUAGACAAAUCCACACAGAGAGAGAAGCCAGGAAUGGGGGAGCCAGGAGUGGAGUAAACCAGGAUGGAGGAGCCUUUCCUGGUAGCUGAGGAGAGGGUCCUAAAGUUGUCUGUGGUGAUGGCCACCCACCUAUGAAUACACCGAGAGCCUCUGAGUUGCAUCCCCUAAGGAAGCUCCCGAGGUGUGAGCAGCGAUUGAGGUGCAUCCUUAGCUGCCCCAAUGACUUAGCAAUGACUGAUCGAUCAAGGGUUGGAUGGCUUGAGUGUUUGACUGAUCUUGGCUGGGGGAGUUUGUGUGUCUGAGCACCUGAAGAGAUGGCUCAGAGGCGUGAUAUACGGUGACUCCACAUGUAUUAUAGUGGCUUGAUGCCCUCUUUGAAACGCACAGUAACUAAUUUCUCCAUGCCAUCUUUCAUCCAGCUAGAUGCUGAAGAAUGCCAGUCCUUUCUUUAGGCAAAAGCAAGUCACCAUCAAAGGUCUGAAUAAAACAGGGUGUGUGACUAUU